rnacentral:rRNA from 1 species
AAUUUUGGACAAUGGGGGCAACCCUGAUCCAGCCAUCCCGCGUGCGUGAUGAAGGUCUUCGGAUCGUAAAGCUCUGUCCUGGGGGAAGAAGGUCUUCGGUCUUGACGGUACCUAUUGAGCAGGUCCCGGCUAACUACGUGCCAGCAGCCGCGGUAAUACGUAGGGGGCAAGCGUUGUCCGGAAUUAUUGGGUGUAAAGGGUGCGUAGGCGGCCUUUUAAGUCUGAUGGGAAAGCCCACGGCUUAACCGUGGGACUGCCUUUGAAACUGGAGGGCUUGAGUAUCGGCGAGGGUAGUGGAAUUCCCAUUUUAGCGGUGGAAUGCGUAGAUAUUGGGAGGAACACCAGUGGCGAAGGCGACUCCCUGGACGAAAACUGACGCUGAGGCACGAAAGCUAGGGGAGCAAACA